AGGAGAUUGGUCUGUAAUUUUCAACUAGGCUGGGGUUUAGCAUUUUUAUAACUCAUUUGUUACAACUAUGGUUGAAUGUUGCUUCAGUGGGCAAGGGCGUACUAAAUUUUAUCUGUAGACACUGAUGCUAUAGGAUGGAAGAGAUAAGAAAAAGUAAUGUGAGUUUUGGUAGCAAAAGGUGGGAUAAGCAAAAGUUUCAAGUAUGGAAGAAGAGCCUGCUUAUAAGUGCUGCAGUAUUGCAAAGGGUGGCAUCCAAUUUUGCUCAGGUUUCAAAUCACUACAGAACAAAAAAAAAAUUUUUUUCCAGUUCCCUGGAUCAACUAGCUGUACGAAAUCAGAAAAACCUACAGCUGCUUCUGAACUGUUGCAAAUCUUUGUGUGGAUGUUCCCACUGUGAAACUAUGUUAUGGGACUGGUGAGAAACCAACUUCUGUGUGCAAGCAGUGAAUUUUGUUGCUAUAUUUCAGAUAAAAACAACUAUUCCUGGGCCCAACUAUCUAUAUAUCAUAACUUCCAAAGUUACUGGUUUUUGCAUUUUAGCUUUUUUUUUUUUUUACAGAAAUUAUGGCAAGAAAAUGAAGACUUGAAGGCAACCAUCCGUGAAAUACACAGUUCAUCUGCUGGACUCCCAUCCCAGUCACCACCUAAUUCUGGGCUCUUGUUUGAAAAUCCAUAUUCUGCAUCACCAAAAAUUGUUCAGACGAAUCCGGUCUCUCUGAAAAAGUGUCCCAUAUGCGAGGAAGUCUUCCCUAAUGACAUUGGACAACAACAAUAUUUGGAUCAUGUGCAAAAUCACAUUCUCGAUUGUCCAUAUUGCAAUAAAACCUUUGACAGCUCCGACAAGCAAGUGUAUGAUGACCAUGUCUUUUGCCAUCGCUUAGACCAGGCUUAAGCCUGCUUGCAUCACUUGCCCUAAACUAUUACACUAAUGCCUUUUUUAUUUCUUUCCCCCACUUUUUCCAUUUCUCUCCUUUGUAUGAUUUGGCAGGGAUAGAUACUUGAUCUGCUAAAAUUGACAUAUCAUUGGGCCUGAAGUGCUGAUACAUGUGUUAAAUAAUAGAUUAUGCUGUUGCUUUGGAAGCAGAAUUUUCCAUAUUUAAAUCUUAUAUUUAAAAAUAAGAUGCUUCCUCCCCCCCCCACCCACCCUAAAUCUUCCAUGAAUAAUGGAUCAUGUUCAUGAUAAGUAGAGAUUUCUAGCUUUGCUAGAAAGAAUAUCUCUAGCAUAUGGGCUCCAGCACAAGUCUGAAAGUUUGGGAGAGAAAACCUCUGGUCCCUCAGACUGGAUCCUACAACAUUAUCCUGGGACACGUAUAUUCACCUUCUUUUGUGAUUUCUAGCUCUGCCUGUCGUAAAGAAUAAAAAUUGCAUUUUUGCUUGCUUUGCUUGUUUUAUGCCUGUUUAGGCAAAGCAACAAUGUGCCAUAACUGUUGUCAGGGAGCUCACUCUCAUAUCAGAAAGUUAUCUAAAGAAUGAACCCAAUUUUUUAAUGACAUUGAGAUUGAUAAAGGCACUGACAAGUUUUCACCAGUAUUGUCACUGUAUGGAAAGGAUUAAAUAAAAAAGAAUGUUUUUUUAAAAUAAAAUAUUAAUACUUUUUAGGGCUUCAGCAUAGUCAAUUUAUUGGAUUCUUCAGAUUGGACUGUAGUAUCAUAUCUCCAGCAUUAAGGAGUUGCAAUAAUCUUAUAACCAGAAUCUCUUUAUGAUAAUGUAGAAAUGUGCUGUUUUGUUGAAAUUUUUCUUUCUAUAUGACUGGAUUGUCAAAAGACCACGCUUAUAAUUAAGAAUACUGCAUUAGAACACAACACAUGCGUGGAAUUCCUUUUCUUGAGAAAUCACAAUAUUAUUUUUUAGUUUAACUGUGCACUUUCUACUCUUUAAGACUGAAUACUGUAAUAGAGAUAAGCUGUUUACAUACAGAUUAUAUACUAUGUAUUGAUUAGCUAAAUAAUUAAUAUUAUAUGUAGCAAAAUCUAUUUUAGUAAUAUUUUUGUCUUUUAAGUUCUAUUACUGCUUUAUAAAUUGGGGAAAUGUUUUCCAGUUUGUAACAAUGGAGUACUUACUCCAUUGCCAUCACUCUGCUAAACACCUCACUCUCACAGUGCUGUCUAAUAUCUCUAUAUAUAUUAACCCAUAUAGCAUGGUUAUAGUGUUAUUAUUUAUCCUUAUUUUCUUUACUUGCUCUUUUAUUUACAUUAUGAUGAUUAUGAUUAUUUUGCUUUGCAUAUACACCGAGUGCUUCUGUUCCAGAGACAAAUUCCUUGUGUGUCUAAUCAUAUUUGGCCAAACAGAGCAUUUAAUUUAAUUCAGUUUAGAUAAUUAAAUAAGUUUUGGAUGAUCUUUUCCAAGUACUUAUUGAUUACUUAUUGAAAAUAUAUCAAAUUCUUUUCAGAAUAGAGAUAUGCAUAUCCAGUGAAUCCUAUGUAGUCAAUUCUAAAUAUUUUACCUUCUACUACUAAAGUUAAUGAGACCAUUUUACUACUUAAUAUAUUAACUCAGAUAAUUAAGCAUACCAGAAAAAACAGGAUUAGUCUAGUUUCCAGAAGACACUCAGAAAUAAAUUAAACAUCCUGCCUUAUCAGUUGUAAAAGUAGUUUCUUCCUUUAUAUUUUCUGUUUGUUCUAUGUGCCAUCUGUUUCUUUUGAUUAAGUUCUGUAGCUUCCUUGAAAAUUUACUUUGGCUGUCUACACACUUGGCUGCUUUUACCAAAAUAAAAUUAUUAUCUGGAUACUCUCUAAUUGUUGGUCUUCCUUGGUGAGAUUUCUACCAUAGGAGCUGCAUAAAGAUUGUAACAGAUGUGCUGUAUAAAGAUGCCUUAAGAUAUUUUGCUGCCUGAAGUAAUGCCCAAUAUUUUAUUUUCCCAGUUUCAUAUAGAGAAGCUGAAUGGAUUGGCAGUAGAAUUUUUCCUCAAUGACGCACAGAUGUAAAAUGGUUUACACAAAUGAAAUUGCAAUAAAC
rnacentral:lncRNA from 1 species